AGAGAACCAGGCCCUGUGCCAGGCAAGGCCUUCCCAUGCUGAGCUCAAAGUUUGCCCUAAACACUGUUGGACCAGAGAGAGAACGGAGGGGCUAUGGGAAUGCCACAGAGAGGAUGAGAGCUAGGAAGACUUCCUGGAGGCCUGGAUGCUACAGAGUGGUAUUCCGUUAACAGAACAACAAUUAUUUCAUUUAAGCUGCAUCAGAGAAAACUGAAGAUGAAAAAACUACCAUCCCCAUAUAUAACUAAUUUGUGCUGUGCACCCACAAGAACCUGUUUUAAAUUUCCAUGCCAAUUUGCAACCCCCACACAGCACCAGUCAAGACUAGCCCCCAGACCACAGCCAACAUCAACUGUUAACCAUGUGAAUGUGCCAUCUUGGAUGUCCAGCCCAAUGGAGCCUUCAGGUGGCAGCCCUGGCCAACAUCUAAAUGUAACCACAUGAGAGACUCCAAGUAAGACCUGCCUGGCCAAGCCCUUCCUGAAUUCAUGAAAAAAUCAUAAGCAAAAUAAAAUGUGUGAUUGGAACUUUGAA